AAAAAGAAGAAGCAAAAACUCUCCUUCAGUCUGACAUUUCAAGUCGAGUUAGCGCAGGGUUUCUCAUCUCUCUCUUUCCUCUCCUCCUCCUGUGACGACUAGACAUCGCGACGAACAAGACUCCUCUCCUCUCAGGUUUUGAUCUUUUUAAUUUGUAUUUGGACCAUUAAUUUGGAGACAAGGCGCUGCUCCAUCUCAGCUAGCUCCCUUUCUCAUAUCAAUAUUAGGUACGAAUGUGGCUGCUUCCUCCAAUUCCUCUGUAUUUCAACUUGAAUUUAUAGAAUUAGGUUUUGUUUGCUGUUAAAUUGGGGCGUUUGUUCUAAUUGAGCUGUAGGAGGUUUGUGGGGUAAAUUGAAAUGCUUGAUAGAGGAUUUUAAGGGGAUGCAUGAUGUUGCAGAUAUUAUUUUGCCUUGUGUUAUAAAAUAUCUCAGCUGCUUGGUCUUUUAACAUUCUCCUUGUGCAUAUGAUUUUGUGCGUUUGAACCCAGGCUCAGAAUUAUUUUUGGGCGUACUUGUGAUGAUGAAAUGAAAUCUUGGUUGAUGGGGGUCAGAUUAUUUUUUUCCUUGGGAAGGAUGGGGUAAAUUAGUUCCUCUGUUUUUCAUUGGUGAUGUUACUUCUUGUAAUAAACUACCAAUUAGCUUAUUUCAACAAUGUUAAAAGUGGUUUGGUUGCUGUUGACGUAAUUUUUUUGUAAUAAAUUCUGAUGAAAUAGGCAAUACAUUCAUUAUAA